rnacentral:lncRNA from 1 species
AGAUAUAGCUCAAGAUAUAACCACUAGUAAAUCGGAUCACUUAUUACCCUUAGAUUGCAAGUGCUGACUUCAAAAUCCAAUAACUCCUUUAUUUUAACUUAGAAUCCAGCAAACAAUAUGCAAAAAGUGUAGCCGCAAAAGUGCUCUCUUCAAUCGCAGUCACCCAUCCUCAAUUGCUAUCCGUACCCGUGUGUUAUGACAAAAAGAGUGACAGUAUCUUCCAAAUCAAUACCUUAACUUUGAGCGCCUAU